rnacentral:rRNA from 1 species
GUAGGUGGCAAGCGUUGUCCGGAAUCAUUGGGCGUAAAGCGCGCGCAGGCGGCCUUUAAGGUCUGAUGUGAAAGCCCACGGGCUCAACCGUGAGGGUCAUUGGAAACUGGGGGACUUGAGUACAGAAGAGGAAAGCGGAAUUCCAAGUGUAGCGGUGAAAUGCGUAGAGAUUUGGAGGAACACCAGUGGCGAAGGCGGCUUUCUGGUCUGUAACUGACGCUGAGGCGCGAAAGCGUGGGGAGCAAACAGGAUUAGAUACCCUGGUAGUCCACGCCGUAAACGAUGAGUGCUAAGUGUUAGGGGGUUUCCGCCCCUUAGUGCUGCAGCUAACGCAUUAAGCACUCCGCCUGGGGAGUACGGCCGCAAAGGCUG